rnacentral:lncRNA from 10 species
GUCCCACCUCGCCUCGCCCUCCCCGGGCUCUAGCCACUUGGUGCGGCAGGUGUCCUGCAGGCCGGCUCGAGAUUCCCGAGCUCGCCCUCGUGGUGUUCCAGGAACACGGUACUUUGCGCUAGCCUGGCCUGUCCUGAGAGACUGCGGGAGGCGAAGAGAACGCGCUGUUGCUGUGGGAAGCGCCGGGGACGGGACAGCUACACCGCCAAACACUUCGCUAGGGAAAGGGCUGGCUGGUUUCGUGCGUAAACAACCGAAAAGGGGAAGUGUCUGGGGGAAAGUGUGUGUGUGUGUGUGUGAAUGCGGGUGAGUGAGGGGGAGAGGGACACGUUACUAAAGUCAGGCAAAUAUUUUGAAAAAAAUAUAUUUUGAAAAAAAUAGUUUGGUCUAACAAAAAUAAAAUGGAAGAGAGAUUUGUUUAAGUAGUUUGAAGCUGAAAGAUUGACGGGAUCUUGCCAUGACCUGAACAGCAUGCACCUGUUUUGUGGCUGGCUGAAGGAUGGUAAAUAGGAUCAAGAUCUCACUUUAAGCGUUGAAAAUGCUGAAAGCCCUUUCUCAAACCUGCCAUAGCGUAGGGGUAGACAGUCUUUCUUAAAGCAACUACUAGGGGUCAAAUGCUGAGUGAAAUUUUUUUCAUCUGUGAACUUUAAAUAAUAGCCACAUACAUUCUGCUAGGCAACUGAGUCUCAAUUUACUAUAGGCCACGUGGCAAAUAAUCAGAUUCAAUUAAAGUCAUCAAACAAUAAUUGUGUGUCGGGCAUCACGUUUAGGUAUUCAAGAUACAAACAUGAAUGAGUUUGGUGAAAAAGUCAUAUCAUCAUGGGCAUGAAUUCUAGUUCCCUCACUUAUUAGCUAUGCUACCUUGGGUCAAUUAACCUCUCUGAGACUCAGCUUUCUCAUCUACAGGAUAAGAAUAAUAAUCCCUUCCUCAUAAGGUUGUUGUGUGAAUUUAAUAAUAUAUUACUUGUAAAACACUUAUUGGGGUGGGAAAUUACCUUGAUGCAAUGGUAGCUUCCACGUACGAGUCAGGCCAUCCCAGAGGGUCAUGGAACUCAGAUGGCUGAGUUCAAAAGGCUCAGAUCAAAUUGAGAUGCCUGAGUCACACAGUUUAUUAAAUCAAUUUAUUUUCAUUUUAAAUAAGUUUAUUCAAACAAGACAUUUGACUUGAAAGGAAAACUAGGAUUUUUUUUUAAGAGUAAUGUGUCAUUACUGAAAGAUUGCCUUACAGGUGUGAGCCACCGUGCCUGGCCUCAACCCCUUUUAAAUAAAAAAAUUUUCACAGCCA